AUGGCGAACGCUGAAAAGCCUUAAAUAGAGUAAGCG
rfam:Pedobacter nyackensis strain DSM 19625 genome assembly, contig: Ga0070598_107